rnacentral:lncRNA from 1 species
UUCAUGGCGGCCCGCAGUACUUCUUUAACCACUGCGCCAAUACAGCUCCACACUCCAAUGAAGAACGAGCGCCGUCUUUCGCCGGCACAGGGACCCAAGGCUGAGGGCCGGGAUCAACAGCCACCCCCUGUGCCCCAUGUCCGCACACGGAUUCCAGGGUAGAGGCCCCAAGGGACGCGGCAACGUGCCCACGACCCUUGUCCGCACACACGCCAACCGACAACAUCCCUCUCACACGCAAAGAAGCACUACAACGCAACACACCAAAGAGGCCGGCGCGCGCAACCACUCGCACGCCGAAGCCCUGAAGCAAUCUGCUCCAACUCGCGCCCGUCCAAGCCUGUGUCCUCCUAACGCCAUCAGCAAGCUGCCCGCCCGCCACUGCCUUCCGGCCGGCUGCUUUACACCUUGACGGCGGCCUUCUUGGCGACGUGCAGGGCCAGGUCCACCACGCGGUUGCUGUAGCCCCACUCGUUGUCGUACCAGGCCACCAGCUUGACGAAGGUGGGGCUCAGCAUGAUGCCGGCCUUGGCGUCCACGGUGCAGGAGGCGGGGUCGGUCACAAAGUCGGAGGACACCACGUCCUCGUCCGUGUAGGCCAGCACGCCCUUCAUCUCGCCCUCCGACGCCUCCUUGAGCGCCUUCAUGAUGUCCUCGUACGUGGUCGCCUUCUCCAGCGUCACGGUCAGGUCCACCACCGACACGUCGUUGGUGGGCACGCGGAAGGCCAUGCCAGUCAGCUUGCCCUUGAGCUCAGGCAGCACCUGGGGAGGGGGGGUACAGGGCGUGAGGCAGGGAGAGGUGGGAGGGAGGCGGCGUCGGGCAGUGGAAGCGGGGGUGGGCGUUGACGCGGCACAGCGCUCAAGCGGGCCCCGCCGGUGGAGCUCUCUAGAGCCUGGACGUACCCGCCAUCUCCAAAAAUGCCGUCUCUCGGUUACACUUCAAUGUGACACGGGUCCCGCCAAUCCAAUGGUGGUGCCGCCCUCGCCACACAGCAAACCGACGCACUUCCGGCCUGCAACGCCACCACCUGCACCCCCAACCAAUGCCCGCAUCCGAGCGCGCACCUUGCCCACGGCCUUGGCGGCGCCGGUGGAGGAGGGGAUGAUGUUGCCGUUGACGGCGCGGCCGCCGCGCCAGUCCUUCUUGCUGGGGCCGUCCACGGUCUUCUGGGUGGCGGUGGUGGCGUGCACGGUGGUCAUCAGGCCCUCCUUGAUGCCGAACUUGCUGUUCACAACCUGGGUGGUUAGGGGAUGAGAGGCAAGAGCGGUCAUGCGCAGGGAGCAGUGACUCACGAUAUGGCAUCGGACAAUGCAAGCAGGGCUGAAGGUGAUGCCCGGAAUGAAAGUUCCUACCGCCUUCACGCUGAUCCUGCUCGAACUACCAUCUAGUAGUAUUCGGAGGCAUACUCACGCACACCGCAGCCAACCCCUGCAUGCACAGCCAUCCUCGACCCGCUGCUGCCCCUCAGCCGCCUCACCUUGGCCAGGGGCGCCAGGCAGUUGGUGGUGCAGGAGGCGUUGGAGAUGAUGUGGUCCGUGGCGGGGUUGUACUUCUCGUGGUUGACGCCCAUCACAUACAUGGGCGCGUCAUUGGAGGGCGCGGUGAUGAUCACCUUCUUGGCGCCGCCGGUCAGGUGGGCGGUGGCCUGGCGCGGAGGGCGAGAGGGAAGGGAAGGUGAGAGCGGCAGGUGCGGUUGGCGAGGCUGUGGGUGAAUGGUUGGCCAUCGGGAGUAGCGUCGUCGUGCAUAGCAGUGCAUCAGUGGGUAGCGUUGGUGGACGGUGGGCUGCGCACGGGGUGACGCGGGCACACAUGCACCCGGGGCCUGUGUGGAGAGGAGAGCUG